AGUGAACGCUGGCGGCAGGCCUAACACAUGCAAGUCGAGCGGCAGCGGGUCCUUCGGGAUGCCGGCGAGCGGCGGACGGGUGAGGAAUGCGUCGGAAUCUGCCUUUUUGUGGGGGAUAACGUAGGGAAACUUACGCUAAUACCGCAUACGACCUACGGGUGAAAGUGGGGGACCGCAAGGCCUCACGCAGAAAGAUGAGCCGACGCCGGAUUAGCUAGUUGGCGGGGUAAAGGCCCACCAAGGCGACGAUCCGUAGCUGGUCUGAGAGGAUGAUCAGCCACACUGGAACUGAGACACGGUCCAGACUCCUACGGGAGGCAGCAGUGGGGAAUAUUGGACAAUGGGCGCAAGCCUGAUCCAGCCAUGCCGCGUGUGUGAAGAAGGCCUUCGGGUUGUAAAGCACUUUUGUCCGGAAAGAAAUCCAAUCGAUUAAUACUCGGUUGGGAUGACGGUACCGGAAGAAUAAGCACCGGCUAACUUCGUGCCAGCCGCCGCGGUAAUAC
rnacentral:rRNA from 1 species